ensembl:lncRNA novel transcript
AUACACUUCCAGAGAAAAUUCAGACUUUGAGCUGGAGUUUAUCCCUGAUCUGAAGAUUGGCUUCAAGAGUUGUUCAUCAAGAGGAGUGAAUCACAGUCACUAAAGGCACCUUCCUGUGACAUUUUGGAUGGCUCCUGGAAUAAAUUUCUACCACUGAGGAACCUUGCUGGUGAGGCAGAAGUCUCUGUCUCCACAGAGAAAAAGCCAAAAGAAGGGAGUUGUGCAUCUACUUAGAAUAAGAGAAAACGGUUUCCAGAUGGCUAAUGAAUGGUUAGGUUUCUCCGUCACAUGGCAACAAGUCUUACUUCCUCAAAUGCUGGUUCUAAGGACUACUGUGAAAUCCUACUAUUGAGAUUCAUCUAGAUCCAAUUCCAUCUCAUUAUUGUGGAGAUACGGUGCAGAGAACAAUACAUGAAUAAAUACAACUGGAUUCUGCUCUACUGA